GACGAACGCUGGCGGCGUGCUUAACACAUGCAAGUCGAACGGAAAGGCCCUGCUUUUGUGGGGUGCUCGAUUGGCGAACGGGUGAGUAACACGUGAGUAACCUGCCCUUGACUUUGGGAUAACUUCAGGAAACUGGGGCUAAUACCGGAUAGGAUCUCCUGCUGCAUGGUGGGGGUUGGAAAGUUUCGGCGGUUGGGGAUGGACUCGCGGCUUAUCAGCUUGUUGGUGGGGUAGUUGCUUACCAAGGCUUUGACGGGUAGCCGGCCUGAGAGGGUGACCGGCCACAUUGGGACUGCGAUAAGGCCCAGACUCCUACGGGAGGCAGCAGUGGGGAAUAUUGCACAAUGGGCGGAAGCCUGAUGCAGAAACGCCGCGUGCGGGAUGACGGCCUUCGGGUUGUAAACCGAUUUCGCCUGUGACGAAGAGUGAGUGACGGUAAUGGGUAAAGAAGCACCGGCUAACUACGUG
rnacentral:rRNA from 1 species